UACGAAGGGGGGCUAGCGUUGCUCGGAUUGACUGGGCGUAAAGGGCGCGUAGGCGGUUCGUACAGUCAGACGUGAAAUUCCUGGGCUCAACCUGGGGGCUGCGUUUGAUACGUGCGGACUUGAGUGCGGAAGAGGGUCGUGGAAUUCCCCAGUGUAGAGGUGAAAUUCGUAGAUAUGGGGGAGGAACACCGGUGGCGAAGGCGGCCAUCUGGACGGAUACUGACGCUGAGACGCGAAAGCGUGGGGAGCAAACAGG
rnacentral:rRNA from 1 species